rnacentral:tRNA from 1 species
GGGGUUGUGGCUCAGAGUUAGAGCACUCACCUUGCAUGUGCGAGACCCUGGGUUCGAUCCUCAGCACCA